CAGCAGUAGGGAAUCUUCCGCAAUGGACGAAAGUCUGACGGAGCAACGCCGCGUGAGUGAUGAAGGUUUUCGGAUCGUAAAGCUCUGUUGUUAGGGAAGAACAAGUGCGAGAGUAACUGCUCGCACCUUGACGGUACCUAACCAGAAAGCCACGGCUAACUACGUGCCAGCAGCCGCGGUAAUACGUAGGUGGCAAGCGUUGUCCGGAAUUAUUGGGCGUAAAGGGCUCGCAGGCGGUUUCUUAAGUCUGAUGUGAAAGCCCCCGGCUCAACCGGGGAGGGUCAUUGGAAACUGGGAAACUUGAGUGCAGAAGAGGAGAGUGGAAUUCCACGUGUAGCGGUGAAAUGCGUAGAGAUGUGGAGGAACACCAGUGGCGAAGGCGACUCUCUGGUCUGUAACUGACGCUGAGGAGCGAAAGCGUGGGGAGCGAACAGGAUUAGAUACCCUGGUAGUCCACGCCGUAAACGAUGAGUGCUAAGUGUUAGGGGGUUUCCGCCCCUUAGUGCUGCAGCUAACGCAUUAAGCACUCCGCCUGGGGAGUACGGUCGCAAGACUGAAACUCAAAGGAAUUGACGGGGGCCCGCACAAGCGGUGGAGCAUGUGGUUUAAUUCGAAGCAACGCGAAGAACCUUACCAGGUCUUGACAUCCUCUGACAACCCUAGAGAUAGGGCUUUCCCUUCGGGGACAGAGUGACAGGUGGUGCAUGGUUGUCGUCAGCUCGUGUCGUGAGAUGUUGGGUUAAGUCCCGCAACGAGCGCAACCCUUGAUCUUAGUUGCCAGCAUUUAGUUGGGCACUCUAAGGUGACUGCCGGUGACAAACCGGAGGAAGGUGGGGAUGACGUCAAAUCAUCAUGCCCCUUAUGACCUGGGCUACACACGUGCUACAAUGGACAGAACAAAGGGCUGCGAGACCGCAAGGUUUAGCGAAUCCCAUAAAUCUGUUCUCAGUUCGGAUCGCAGUCUGCAACUCGACUGCGUGAAGCUGGAAUCGCUAGUAAUCGCGGAUCAGCAUGCCGCGGUGAAUACGUUC
rnacentral:rRNA from 1 species